rnacentral:rRNA from 1 species
GUUACGCUAAUACCGCAUACGGAUCUAUGUGAUGAAAGCGGGGGACUCGCAAGGGCCUCGCGCGAUUGGAGCGGCCGAUAUCAGAUUAGGUAGUUGGUGGGGUAAAGGCUCACCAAGCCAACGAUCUGUAGCUGGUCUGAGAGGACGACCACCCACACUGGAACUGAGACACGGUCCAGACUCCUACGGGAGGCAGCAGUGGGGAAUUUUGGACAAUGGACGCAAGUCUGAUCCAGCCAUUCCGCGUGCAGGAUGAAGGCCCUCGGGUUGUAAACUGCUUUUGUACGGAACGAAAAGGUUUCUAUUAAUACUAGGAGCUCAUGACGGGACCG